rfam:Myotis brandtii contig214312, whole genome shotgun sequence.
GGCAGUUCUUGGGUGACACACCCCAGAAUCAGGCCUCCUCCUCUCUGGUUCCGGGGUGCGUCACCCAAGAACCGCC